AGUGAACGCUGGCGGUAGGCCUAACACAUGCAAGUCGAACGGCAGCACAGUAAGAGCUUGCUCUUACGGGUGGCGAGUGGCGGACGGGUGAGGAAUACAUCGGAAUCUACUUUUUCGUGGGUGAUAACGUAGGGACACUUACGCUAAUACCGCAUACGACCUACGGGUGAAAGCAGGGGAUCUUCGGACCUUUCGCGAUUGAAUGAGCCGAUGUCGGAUUAGCUAGUUGGCGGGGUAAAGGCCCACCAAGGCGACGAUCCGUAGCUGGUCUGAGAGGAUGAUCAGCCAAACUGGAACUGAGACACGGUCCAGACUCCUAAGGGAGGCAGCAGUGGGGAAUAUUGGACAAUGGGCGCAAGCCUGAUCCAGCCAUACCGCGUGGGUGAAGAAGGCCUUCGGGUUGUAAAGCCCUUUUGUUGGGAAAGAAAAGCAGCAGGUUAAUACCCCGCUGUUCUGACGGUACCCAAAGAAUAAGCACCGGCUAAAUUCGUG
rnacentral:rRNA from 1 species